ensembl:lncRNA
AGUGUGCGGGUCUCGGCGAAGAAGCCCCCGAGCGGCAGCCCCAGUCGUUUCGUGUGUUCCUUGUUGGCAGCCCCCGCCGGCUGCCACAUCCAUAGUCUGAGCCUUUCAUCCUGUAAACGGGAUGGAGGAGAGACCCCCAGCCGCUCCAGCAUGGCCGGGGAGGAGAGUGGGGCUCCCCAGGACAGAAGAUCUCCAGCGGAGCCCUACCAAGUGACCGAGGUCAUCCCUCUGCAUGCUGGUGAGUGAGGGUCUAAAGCGGGGUGGGCAGGGCUGGGGCAGCGAGUGCCCCCUGCUCCACACCAGGAACCCUUGUCACGGGCAGACUUUGCCAUGGGAGCGAGCCCAGGGCCGGAGAGGGCAGAGCUCCUUCUGCUCCUGCCUGCCUUUGGCCCCUCUAUAGCACUGCUCUCUCUCCUUGCUCAGAUGCUGAAUUGCUGCCUCUAUCUGAUGUGGAACAGGAGGCAGUGGAUUUCAUCCAAGCCAACAGCAUCAGCAAGGAAAUGGAUCUGGUGCAGAAGCUGCGGUUCCUCAACAGCAUUUGCAUACUGUGCAGCACCGCUGGACAGGAGGGCCUCACACUGAGCCAUGAUAUCUUCUGCUUGCUGAAAAAUCAGUGCAAGAAGAUUGAGGUGAGGGGACAUGGCACCCAGGUAGCUGCACCCUGUGAGAAGGACAGGACAGGGGGAGAGGGAGGCAGGGAAAUGAGCACAGACACCCAAGUGCCCCAGAUGGGACUCCAGGUGCUGCUGAGAGCUCAGCAGUGGAGGUGGACAGCAGCACCAGUGUGCCAGUGUUUUGUCAAGGGCCACUGGGGCGACUCAGGCCCUAGCGGCCGGUGGCAGGUUUGCUGUUGCUGGGUGCUGGCAGCUGCCAGGUGCCAUCCUGAUUGUGCUUUGCAGGUUCUGUUGUGUGAGGAGCCCAUGGAGCAGCUGAGCACCGGCCUGAGAUACUGCUGCAUGAACACCAUUGCUGCCUUGAGGUACCUGCCCAGCCCCUGCUUUUGCCAGCACAUCCCCCGGGCACCAUCCUGGUGGCCCUGACGCAGCUCCCCGCUAAGUCUUGGCCCUCGCCCCAAAGCUGGUGACAUCAGGACUGUCCUCUGACCCAGAGCAGCCCCGUGGGGGAGGAGGCACCUCCUGCAGGGCUCCCAUCCCUCUCAGGGAGCCUUGCCCAGGGGAGGACCUGUUCCACCCCUGCCUCAGCACCCAGGCACCUCUCCUAGCAUCAGUGUCUCUCUAAUUGCAGCACUGUGAAUGCAGUUACGGAGGAAGAAAUACUCCAUCUCUUCAAGGUGUGCUGCAGCAUCGUCUUCUAUCUUCCUCCAGCCAGGGCCUUGAACAUUUCCCUCUACAACCAGGUAUGUACUGGGCAAUCUACUGUUGACCCCAUGCCUCUGGGCUGCCGCUUGCAUUACUUGUGUCCAGAGAUCUAUCAAGAUGUUUGUGGGAUGAAUUGGCAGCCUUGCUUGCCCUCACCCCUCUCACUCUUGCCUUGGGCUUGGCAAACAGCCUGUGUUGUAGCCUGCUCUGAGUGCAGCAGCCUUGCAGGGUGCCCCUGUGCACAGAUCUGUGGGUAUCCUUCCUUGG